rnacentral:rRNA from 1 species
GUAGUCAUAUGCUUGUCUCAAAGAUUAAGCCAUGCAUGUCUAAGCAUAAGCAACUUGUGAAGUGAAACUGCGAAUGGCUCAUUAAAUCAGUUAUCGUUUAUUUGUUAGUACCACACUACAAGGAUACCUGUGGUAAGAGUAGAGAUAAUCCAUGUUAAAAACCCCGACUUCGAGAAGGGGUGUAUUUAUUAGAUAAAAAACCAACGCCCUUCGGGGCUCCUUGGUGAAUCAUAAUAACUUAUCGAAUCGCAUGGCCUUGCGCCGGCGAUGGUUCAUUCAAAUAUCUGCCCUAUCAACUUUCGAUGGUAGGAUAGUGGCCUACCAUGGUUGCAACGGGUAACGGGGAAU